rnacentral:rRNA from 2 species
GACAGAGGUGCCAAGCGUUAGGCGGAAUCACUGGGCUUAAAGCGUGUGUAGGCGGAUGCCUAAGUACCUUGUGAAAUCCCACGGCUCACCCGUGGAACUGCUGGGUAUACUGGGCGUCUUGAGCCAGCUAGGGGUCGCCGGAACAAGUGGUGGAGCGGUGAAAUGCGUAGAUAUCACUUGGAACGCCAAAGGUGAAAACAGGCGACUGGGGCUGAGCUGACGCUGAGACACGAAAGCCAGGGGAGCGAACGGG